rnacentral:rRNA from 1 species
AGGGAAUCUUCCGCAAUGGACGAAAGUCUGACGGAGCAACGCCGCGUGAGCGAAGAAGGUCUUCGGAUCGUAAAGCUCUGUUGUUAGGGAAGAACAAGUAUCGUUCGAAUAGGGCGGUACCUUGACGGUACCUAACCAGAAAGCCACGGCUAACUACGUGCCAGCAGCCGCGGUAAUACGUAGGUGGCAAGCGUUAUCCGGAAUUAUUGGGCGUAAAGCGCGCGCAGGCGGUCCUUUAAGUCUGAUGUGAAAGCCCACGGCUCAACCGGGGAGGGUCAUUGGAGACUGGGGGACUUGAGUGCAGAAGAGGAGAGCGGAAUUCCACGUGUAGCGGUGAAAUGCGUAGAGAUGUGGAGGAACACCAGUGGCGAAGGCGGCUCUCUGGUCUGUAACUGACGCUGAGGCGCGAAAGCGUGGGGAGCGAAC